CUAUAGUCUGUCUCUACAGAAUUAAUGCUGUUCUCAGAGAACAGAUAGUGUUUACACUCCUCAGACGGUCACUAGGGUGCUUCCUGGGUCAGUGCUGCACAGUUUGCAGUACUAACGUUCAGCAUGAAGAGGCUGAACAUUCCUCAUAGAGGAACUAUAGUGUCCCUUUAGGAUGCUAGUAGAAAGACAAGGGUCAAAAGGACAAAUAAAUUUUGAAGGAG